GCCAAUGUGGCACAGUGGUUUGAGCAUUGGACCAUGAUUCUGGGGACUGGGGUUCAAAUCCUGGCUUGGCU